rnacentral:rRNA from 1 species
AAGGAAUAUUGGUCAAUGGACGCAAGUCUGAACCAGCCAUGCCGCGUGAAGGAUGAAGGUCCUCUGGAUUGUAAACUUCUUUUAUCUGGGACGAAAACGGGAUUUUUAUCUCAAUUGACGGUACCAGAGGAAUAAGCACCGGCUAACUCCGUGCCAGCAGCCGCGGUAAUACGGAGGGUGCGAGCGUUAUCCGGAUUUACUGGGUUUAAAGGGUGCGUAGGUGGGCUUAUAAGUCAGUGGUGAAAUCUCCGAGCUUAACUUGGAAACUGCCGUUGAUACUAUAGGUCUUGAAUUAUCUGGAGGUAAGCGGAAUAUGUCACGUAGCGGUGAAAUGCUUAGAUAUGACAUAGAACACCAAUUGCGAAGGCAGCUUACUACAUAUAAAUUGACGCUGAGGCACGAAAGCGUGGGGAUCAAACA